UGAGCCUGCAACAUUUUCGUUUUUGUCGUGUUGAGCGACCUGUGAAGUUUCUACUUUUCUCUAUUUUACAUAUUUUUGUUAUUCUAUAUGUAUGCUAUAAAUAUUUAGCGCUUCAAAAACAUGGUGAAAUGCUGCUAUUUUCUCCAAAAGUACUAACCUGGGCACAGAUAUUUAAAACACAUUCAAAAUAAAGAACUGCUAGUAAAUAAAUAUACAUAUUUAAAAAGCCUAUAUAUGUAAUAUAUGUUAAUUAUCUGGGGCCCCUUCAAGAAGCUCAUAAGGGGGGCAUGAAGGCUGCUGCACUUUCCGUUGCCUCUCAUGAACAAACUCAAUCACACCGAGUGUGCUGUUAUAUUGCUUGGUUGAACUCUUUGCUUCUAAAGCAUAUUCUUGACAAAUAAUGAACUUACAGUGCCUCUCGAACAUCACGUUGAGUAGAAUUCGGCUAUUCUUAGAAUAUGAACCAAAGAAAAAAGUAAAACUUUCAUAAAACUGGAAUAAUGACACGCUCUUUAAAAGAUACAAACUAUGUCCUGUGAAUUACGUAUAUAUUAAAGGUCCAUACUUAAGAAAGUUCGUAAGAUGAAACAGGGCCCUGUAUUUCAAAAAUGAAAAUAACAUAGAUUUUACUUAUUUCAAAUUGCCUUAGAACAAAUACAGACGGUUCUAUUUAGUUUAUCAAAAUAAUGUUCCGAAAAGACCGUUUAAUAAGCAUGUCACCAUAUUUGUCAAUAUUGACAUGAGUAGGUAGUCAUCAAAUGGCUAUAGAAAUGCUUGAUAUACUCCGAACCAUUUACAUAAUGAAAGAAUUGCAUUUGUUUACUGAAGAAAGAAUGAAUCCUUUGAAGUAAUGACCUUUUAUAAAGUUUGGGGAAAGAAGGGAUGAUACUGCAUUGAAAUUAUUCCAAUUUAAAUGUUUAGAACCGACAGUAAUAAAGAAACAUGACAUCUGAUUAUGUACAUACAUGGAAGAAAGUCGCCUACAGUUCUGUAUAUAUAUACCGUAUUUCAGAUGUAUGUUUUGAUUGCCCUCAAGCAGUUAAAUUGCAUUACAUGCUGUGUGUAUAAAAAUAUACGUAUGCAUUUUGUGUCGAUAGUCGCGUAUUAAAUGUACGUAUACAAUCGUUAAAGUUCACAUAAAUCGGUCACAUUCUAUGAGAGCAUUUGUAAUUGAACUGUGUUUACAUACAAUAUUCAAACAAAUAGUAAUAAAUCUCUUUAACUUCUUACAAUUGCAAUUUGAAAGAAACCUAUGCAAACCAAACAAAUAAAAUGGAGCCAAAGAAACCUUUAUUUCUUACUAAUUAAUGACGGCCUUUCGUUUUUGUAUAUAUGUAUGUAUGUAUUAAUAAUAAAUUGUACAUUUAGAGCAUUUCGAGAGUAUGAUACUCAUAGUUUGAUGAAUAUGACAAAAGAAACGCUUGAAAUACAGAAGGUAUGUACGAAUGAACAUUUUAUUGAUAAAACUCAUGACAAGCAUAUUUAUGUAAUACAAGUCCAAUUUUCUUAUCAUUAAUUCCUUUUUACACGCCAUCUAUGGUUAGUACUGUUGAACUGUUAGAAAAUCGGCAGUAAACCAAAUUUACAUGAUACACUUGAUAUAUUCCACAAUUGCUAAAUAGGACUUUUAUGUAGCUACUAAUUUUAUAAAACAAUGUCAUAUUCCCCAAAUAUAACAAAAUUAUUGUUUAUGUUUUGCUGGAAUAUUUAGAAACCGCCUAUAAGAAGGUUCUUGCAAGACAUACGAGAACAAAUAGAAACUAAUUUGUCAUGCAUAGACAUACAUAGCACGAAUAAAAAUGAACAAUUAAAAACGAACUGUCUUCACAACUUGCGCCUGUUAGUGUCUUCUUUACAUGACGAUGAUUUACGGAGAUUUGGAGAUGAGGUCUUCUCUAAAGGGUGUUCGCCAGCUGACCAAAAGUGUAUUGAAAACAGGGAGUUGUUCAUUGAUAUCGUUAUGGGAAAGGGUUGUGAUAUUUCCCAGAGAAUAAUUUUAGAUUAUAUUUUGGAAAGAAACGAGACGUCGCAGGAAGAUCGCAUAAGAUGCAUUAUGCACUGCGCGCGAAUUACUCACCCCUCUCCAGGUUUAGUAAAGCACCUUGAAGAUACUUGCUUUGAAUAUUAUCAGCAAUAUCACGAUGUUUUACCAAAAACAACAAGAAUGUCAUGUUUGUCUCUGGGAUCUAUUGCAAGUGUCAUUGAUAAUUUCAACAGCACAGAAGCUGCUCGUAUAGUCAACAAACUAGAACAGUGGCUUACCCCAUACAAUGACUGUAAGAACAUUUGUUUCAUACU
rnacentral:lncRNA from 1 species